AUUGAACGCUGGCGGCAGGCCUAACACAUGCAAGUCGAACGGUAACACGAAGAAGCUUGCUUCUUUGCUGUCGAGUGGCGGACGGGUGAGUAAUGUCUGUCAAACUGUCUGAUGGAGGGGGGUAACUACUGGAAACGGUUGCGAAUAUCGCAUAACCUCGCAACGGCAAAGAGGAGGACCUCCUCGCCCCUUGCCCUCGGAUAUGCGCAGAUGGGAUUAGCUAGUAGGUGGGGUAAAGGCUCACCCAGGCGACGAUCCCUAGCUGGUCUGAGAGGAUGACCAGCCACACUGGAACUGAGACACGGUCCAGACUCCUACGGGAGGCAGCAGUGGGGAAUAUUGGACAAUGGGCGCAAGCCUGAUGCAGCCAUGCCGCGUGUGUGAAGAAGGCCUUCGGGUUGUAAAGUACUUUUGGCGGGAAGGAAAAGAGGCAGGUUAAUACCUCGCUGUAUUGACGGUACCCGAAGAAGAAGCACCGGCUAACUCCGUG
rnacentral:rRNA from 1 species